UGACCUCUAAUACAGUGAUAAAACAUUAAAAUGAAUACUUUAAUGUAUUUUAAAUGCAUGCAGGUUAUGUUUAUGUCUGUAUUUUGAUUGUAGAUCAGAAUGGAAAGAGAAGGAGUGUAAAAUGUACCUGUAUUUGACUUCAAUUAAAAAAUUAAAUAAUUAGCAUCAUCGUCACUAAGUCUUGCCGAAGUUCUCUUUUAUUUUAAAACUGUGAUAUGCAGAUGUGACAAUUUUCAAUGUGAACUUAUUUCAGGGACAGACCUUUUUUGAUGCAACUUUUAAUUAUAUAACUUUUGUAUCCUAUUGAAAUAUUUUUCUUGUUUUUGGGGACAAAUUGUUACCUAAGUGCAUUAAUGGGCUAACUACUACAGAAUUUAUUAGGAGUAAACCAGUUACUGCAGGAGUUAACCAGUUACUGCACUAAGUUGACAAUUUAUUAUAUGCAGUAUAGUAACAUGAGACACGUUAGACUUAUCUCUGUAGAUUUUUAUAGAUUUUUUUUUCUUCAUAAUUUUAGAUUUUAUUUUUAAAUUGACAUAAUGAAAUAGUGAUAUAAAUAAUGUUCAACUUUGAACUAAAACUAAAAGUUUUUUUUUCUUCUAUUUAUAUACAAAUGUAGCUAUUGUGAUCAUUUGGAGACCAAUUCAGUUGUCUGUUGUGAACAUAAUAAAUUUGUUAAAAAUUGCUAAAAUGACUCCAGCUUGUAAACAAAACAGCCAGAAGAGCUAGAAAUAGAAUAAUAAAGGACAUUUCAAAAAUUGCUAAAAUCAUUCCAGUUAGCUUAAUAUGAAGCGCACCAGAGCUAAGAAUAGAAAUACAUAUAAGUUUCAACCAACUUCUCAUCUGAUGUUGUUGAAACUUUACAGGAAUGAUCAUUUGGUAGUCUUUUACAAAAACAGAAAUCAAACUGACUGCCAAAUUUGAUAAAAUUCAAUAGGAAUUAUUCUUGGGGGAUACUUUAUAAAAAUUGGGUAAAUUAUUACAUUCUGUUAAAAAACAAAGCUGCCUAUGUGCUGAAUUGAAACCACAUCUACAACUCAAAAUUAAUGCUUGGCUGAUUUUGAUGAAACUUUAUAUGAAUGACCUAAUAAUGAAAUCUUGUCUUUGUAAACCAUAUCCUCAGGAAAGCGAUUAAGGGCCAUCAUGGCUCUCUUGUUUUCUGUUUAAAUAUAAUGAUACUUAAAGUUUAAUAAAUGUAAUUUUCAAUUUAGUUACAAAUUAGUUAUUGAAAUUAUUUUGACUUCAUACAGAUCAAUACCAGAAACUGUAACUUUUUGGAAAAGGAAUAUUUAUUGCAUUUAUGUUUAUAUUAAAUCUCAAUUUGAGGAAGACAGUAAUUUUUAUAUUAAUGCAUUGUUGUGUCAAUGACAACUUGCCUAUGCCCUCAUUAUCAAGUCAAAACAGCCUGUAUAUCCAUGUAAUGUUACGAGACUUUAUACUGGUGGCUGCAUAGGAUUCAAAUUUUCAACAUUGAACCCCUUCCAACUUCCAAAUUCAUCCCUUUAAAAAACUUUGGACACUUCCAAAUUCAAAGCAGGGUAAGAAUGACUAAUUAAUUAUACAAAUUUAUUGUUAUAGGUCAAGUAACCAAGUAAUUUGGAUAUGAUCUAUCACAUUUUAAAGAGAUACACAAGUGUGGUUAAAACCUAUAGUUUUCAUCUUUUCAUUUAUGACAUGAACCUAAAUAGACAUUGUACUACAUGUAUUAUAUAAAUAUUGUAAAUUUUUAAGCUCAUUUUAACCAUCUUUGCAUUGUAGAAAUUUCCAAGCAUGUGGAUACAAUUCCUUUUAGUCUUGCACAUUCCACCUUGCACAUUGCAAACUUUUAUUGUUCACAGAUGGUUAUUUAUAUACACCUCUCUAGUACUUUACAUGAUUGUACACAUUCAAUAUGGUGUUAUUCUUAGUAACACACAUAAUUGAUGAUUGCAGCUUGUUGUUGUUGUUUCCCUUGAUCCAGAUUGUUACGGUUUUAUGAAAAAUAAAAGUUUGAUAAAUUA